rnacentral:lncRNA from 1 species
AAAAAUAAACAAAAGAAUGGCGGUUUACAUAUUACAGUGAAGUCUGAAUUGAAGCCAUGCUUAGGCAUAUGUCUUUUUCUUUUUUACACCACUUUUCAAAUUAAUUUAGUAUUUAAUUCUGCUUUCAGUCCCUGUGUUCUACACAUAAUUAAUAUUUAGUUCUUUUUUUUUUUUUAAAUCUCAGAAAUUUACUUAUUAUUUUUCUA